AGGCAACCUGUAAUCAGUCAAACAUGACAAAUAUAAAGGUAGAAGAUUCUGAGAAUUUUACACAAAUUAUAUUAUCAUGCACAUAAUGCAAUCCCUACUUAAACAAGGUGUCCCCAUAAAGACAGUUAAAAUACAGGUCAAUGUCCCCAGAAGGUAUCAUGCAAAUAAUGCAAUCCACCCUUAAACAAGGUGUCCCCAUAAAGACAGUUAAAAUACAGGUCAAUGUCCCCAGAAGGUAUCAUGCAAAUAAUGCAAUCCACCCUUAAACAAGGUGUCCCCAUAAAGACAGUUAAAAUACAGGUCAAUGUCCCCAGAAGGUAUCAUGCAAAUAAUGCAAUACACCCUUAAACAAGGUGUCCCCAUAAAGACAGUUAAAAUACAGGUCAAUGUCCCCAGAAGGUAUCAUGCAAAUAAUGCAAUCCACCCCUAAACAAGGUGUCCCCAUAAAGACAGUUAAAAUACAGGUCAAUGUCCCCAGAAGGUAUCAAAUAACAUCACACAUCGCUUGUUCGUUCUAUCCUGCUACAGAAAGCUACAGAAAGUGUGUACAAUGAUUUUAACUAAAGUACAUAAAAUUGUAAACUGCAAAAAAUAAAUAAAUAAAUAAAUAUAUAAAGAUCAUUUUUAUUAUGUAUAUGCAAUGAUUUUCCCUUCUCUACAUUUAUAAUUAGUAGUCACUUCUCUAAAGUAAUGAUCAACUUAUUUGAAUUGCGAUGUGAUUGUAUUAGAAUUUAGGCAUGGACCAGAACAGAUUAAUAAUCUAGUUCAAUAUCUAAUUGCAAAAAUAAAUUAUCAAGUUAUCAAGUAUGAAUGUGUCUAAAGUAUCAAUCAAACAUUGAAAGGGUUGCCUUUUAAAUGGUUACGAAAAUCAGUCAAGAUAAAAUUAAUGAAUUCUCCAAACUUUUAUGAACUGUGGCCAUCAUCUAUACUUUCUUACCUUGGGAUUGGAGUGGGACACAUUCCAAUCUUCUGCAGAGCUGGAAUCUGUGUCCAUGUUGUUUUGGAAGGCAACCUGUAAUCAGUCAAACAUGACAAAUAUAAAGGUAGAAGAUUCUGAGAAUUUUACACAAAUUAUAUUAUCAUGCAUAUAAUGCAAUCCCUACUUAAACAAGGUGUCCCCAUAAAGACAGUUAAAAUACAGGUCAAUGUCCCCAGAAGGUAUCAUGCAAAUAAUGCAAUACACCCUUAAACAAGGUGUCCCCAUAAAGACAGUUAAAAUACAGGUCAAUGUCCCCAGAAGGUAUCAUGCAAAUAAUGCAAUCCACCCUUAAACAAGGUGUCCCCAUAAAGACAGUUAAAAUACAGGUCAAUGUCCCCAGAAGGUAUCAAAUAACAUCACACAUCGCUUGUUCGUUCUAUCCUGCUACAGAAAGCUACAGAAAGUGUGUACAAUGAUUUUAA